rnacentral:rRNA from 1 species
GAUGAACGCUGACAGAAUGCUUAACACAUGCAAGUCUUUGGCGAAUCUGUGCUUGCACAGGCUAGCCAAGGCGGACGGGUGAGUAACGCGUAAAGAACUUGCCCUGCAGACAGGGAUAACAGACGGAAACGACUGAUAACACCUGAUACAGUUGCCGGCACGCAUGUGCCUGGCAAUGAAAAGAGAUGCUGCAGGAGAGCUUUGCGUCCUAUUAGCUUGUUGGUGAGGUGACGGCUCACCAAGGCGAUGAUAGGUAGCCGGCCUGAGAGGGUGAACGGCCACAAGGGGACUGAGAUACGGCCCUUACUCCUACGGGAGGCAGCAGUGGGGAAUAUUGGACAAUGGGGGCAACCCUGAUACAGCAAUUCUGUGUGCACGAAGAAGGUUUUCGGAUUGUAAAGUGCUUUCAGCAGGGAAGAAGAAAGUGACGGUACCUGCAGAAGAAGCGACGGCUAAAUACGUG